UGGCUCAUAACUCAAUGGUAAGAGUAGCUGCCUUAUACGCAGAAAGUUACCAGUUCAAAUCUGGUUGAGCCAA
rnacentral:tRNA from 1 species